ACCGAAGGGCGGAGGGGCGGGGCAUGCGGAGAGCCGCAGCUCGGCGUUACUGCGAGGGCGACGGGGCGGAGCCUGGGAAGCAAUCGGGGGCGGAGCCUGGGCAGAAGCUCUUUAACGCCGGAACGGGGGCGUGGCUUGAGGGAGAGGCCUUUGCCUCAAGGAAGGGCGUGACCGGAAGGGCGUGGUUAAGUGCCGGGAUUUCCGGGUGGGACGGGUGUGGGCGUGGCCUGUGGAGAAACACCACCACCCACGCCACCCCCGAGAGCGGUGAGGUUCUGUUGAGUGUGUUCCCAGACCCACUGGAGCAGACGCGGCCUGACGGAGAACUCGCAGACCUCGACUCUUACAACCUUGGGUUCGGGGAGUUUGGAGUCGGGUCCAGGGUCCCUCGCCCCAGCGGUGUCCAUCUCUCCCUUGAAGGGAAGGAGCUAUAGGAUUGCAGAGUCGGGGUCCCCCAUCCAGGAGGCUGAGGAUGAGUUGGUGGACCCAUGUGCAGCUUGCCUGCUCCCACUCCUGUCCUCCACUGGAAUGGACUUCAGCCCCAAGCCUCCAGGGGUCUUCUCCCUUCCUGUCUUGAGUUUUGAUUGGUCCUCACAUCACUACCCCCAUCCCUACCCUGGCCUCUGUGGCCACUGCCUGUUGUGGUUCUGCAACUCUCUCCAGACCCUGCUCCCUCAAAAGCUAGACCACACCAGCCUUUCACACAGUAUUUAAAUGUGGAAUGGCAGAUGUCGGUAAUGUUUACUGUGUGACUCUGAGCAGGUCCGUUGCCUCUCUGAGCCACAGUUUUGAUCCUCAUCUGGGCACAAAGCAGGAGUAGGACUGGAACCUUUUCACAGGGCUAGGUGCAGUUCUGUGACUUGAAUGGUGUCCCCGCCUUUACGUCACUGCACUCCCAGAGAUGUGGCUGCCACCGGACUGAGCUUCAGGAUGCCUACAGAGUGGAUGUGGGGACUGUCAGUCAGAUCUGGGAGUUCCUGAGUCCCUCUGCCAUGACCCUGGAGGACAGAAGUGCUCUACUCACCCAUGCCAAAUGGUUUAAUGUUGGGGUAAGAGAGGGGUAAGAGAGGAGUCUGGGGGAAUCACCCCCAAGGCAGGAGGGGGCAAGAGUCUAGAUUGCUGGGUGGAAACAGGAGGGCUGGUUCCAAGUCUGGCGGGUCCCAGACUGGCUGUGACAGGGCAGGUAGCAGGGACAGGGCUUCCCUGCUCUCCUUGGAGAGGGGCUGCAGGGGGUGGGUGGAGACACUCCCACAUGGGUGAGGGGUCCAGGAUAGGAGGGCUCUGCCAUCACUGAGAGUCCUGGCCAGGUCCCAGGUGCACAGCGGUGGGGGACAGUAGCCCCAGCCCAGCUGGGAGGGUCAGGCCACCCUGAUCUCCAUUAGUCCGGACGUUGGGGAGAGGGUACGGUGCUGGUCGGGCCCUUGGAAUCCCAAGAUGGCUUGAGGCUCCAGGAUACAGGCCCUGGUAAGCAAGGGGCCUGUAGGUGGCCGGGGCCAGCAGGGCUUCAGGGGAGGGCAGCAGCUGAUGGUGGAGCCGGACAGAGGUCCUGGAGGUGGAGGCUGAAGCUUUGUUGGGGUCUGGGGAGGAAAUGGUCUGAGCAGACCCCAGGCCUCCCCUCACACCUCAGUCCUCACCCAUGUCCCCUGGCCCCUUCCCUGCCUGUCUUGGCCUAUCUCAGCCUUUGCCCUUGCUUUCUUCUCUGCCUGGAAUUUCCUCCCCACCUUCUCCCUCGGCCAAAUCCUUCCCAGUCCUGGCUUGAGAACGGCCUCCUCCAGGAAGCCUGCCGGCACCCUCACCUCUGCUCUUCGCUCCGCGUCCCUGCCCUGUUCUUCCUGGGCCUCAUGUCGUCUUAGGAAUUUUGGCCACCUGUCUGUGGCUACACAGGGACCCAGUGGAUUUGCCGAGCAAGUCCCUUCCUGGAGGCCCAUGCAGACCUUAGUCCCUGCACGCCAUUCCGUGACCCAGGCCUCACCUUUCUCCUGCUCCAUGGAGCCUGCCAGCAGGCAGGGACUGAGGCUGCUGCUUCUCCGGGCUGGGAUGCUGAGCAGGGGCCGUGGGGCCACAGGCCUGAAGAUGGGCAAGCAGGAAUGGGGCGGGGGUCAAGUGGAAGGACCAGGAACCAGGGUCAGAAUCCGAAGGCGGGACCCUGAGACAGGUGACAGGGGAGGCCCCAGGAGAUGUCUGGAGGGGGAGGGGCUGGGGGCUGGGCAGCUGAGUGGAACAGCAGAGGCCACACGGUACCAGGAGUCCGGGUCACUCUCUCUAAAGCCCUUGGCAAAAGGGUUGCUGGCGAUUUUCAGCUGGGUGAUCUACAGAGGAGAAGGUGCGGUCAGGGCUGCCCGAGCCCAUGCAGGGCUGUGGGGCCCACACUUGGUCACCCUGCCCUCCGGGGACCCCAGUCAGGAGGUUGCAGGACCCAGGCCCUGUGGCCGGGAACUCCAGAGCCAGUGGACAUGAGGCAGGGGCAUUUCUGGGGCAGACACCUGGGGCACAAGGGCAAGAGGGGCGUGGCUGGGGCCAGGUUCAGGCCUCGGUGUCCACCCUGGGAAAUGGGCUGGCGGCUGGUGCCUCCCGAGCUGUGCCCCACCCACCCGGUGAUUCUGGUACGCGGUCACCGCUGUGAACUGGGUCUCGGUGAAGAUGAAGGACUUGAAGUUCUCCUGGGCGUAGCGCUCGCUGUCCUUCCGCGGGUCCACGAAGACCACAUGGAAGCGCGGCUGGUAGCGGUGCAUGGAGUUGAGAAUGAUCUGUGGGAGGUUUCGGAGGGGCUGGGCCGCGGACCCUGCCGGAGCCUAGGCCCGCCAGCCCAGCACCGGGACACCAGCCUGAGCCUGCCUGUGUCCCAGGGCCCACUGGGUUUGAGCGUCCUUUUUCUCAGCCCAUAUCCAACCCUUGUAACUACCUGCAGAACUAUCCAGAACUGACCACCCCCCGGCCCACCAGCAACUGUCAUCGUUCCCCUGUGCACUUCAGCUGCCUCUGCCCCUUCUCCACACAGCGGCCCUGGCAGGACGCGUCCCCUAGCGCCCGGCUCGAGACCUCCUUCUUCUUCCCACAGAGAGGGAGGGCGUCCUCUCCAUGGGGGGACUGGCCCGAACAACCAGCCCUGACCACAGGUCUCUUCCUCCACUUCCCCUCCUUGUUCCACUCUAGCUGUGCAGGGAGCCCCGCAGCCCCCCCAAUCGCCCCAACAUCCUCUGGCCUCAGGGCCUUUGCAUUUGCUGGCCUCUGGCCGACAAGCAUCUGAUAUGCAGUCUCCGUCCCUCCCCCACUUCCUUCCAGUCACUGCUCAAUAUCACCUCUUCAGCCUCUGUCUCUGCACCUUCCCUGGUUCCUUUUACCCCUGUCAUUUAUCACUAUCUGUGACCUCAUCCAGGGUCUGCUGGGUUCCUGGCUUCCCAUCUGCCUCCAGCCUCAGGAUUUGAGCCUGGGGAAGGUGGGAAAUCUUUGUUCCACCAAGUGUCAAUCACUAUGCCUGGCAUUCCACACACUCCUCCCACUCCGGACAGUCCUUUGUGCCAUCUAGCCCCCACCAGGUGGUGAUCAUCAGUGGGCAGGGUGCUGGGCACCACGGCCACAGGGCACCAAAAGUCCUGCCAGCCCUGGCUCCAGGCUUUGUCAAAUGGAGGCCCAAGACCCCAACACCUGGCUCAGUCCCUCCCCACUGCAGCCAGGACCUCACAUGGCCGUUGUCGUCCAGCAAGUUGUUGGUCAGCUUCAGCUUGUCAAAGGACACAAUCUGACGCAUCCACUGGGCGCCCUUGGCUGGUGAGUCCGGAUGGAAGUGCACGCGGCCAGGCGUGGCCGGGUCAGCCUUGCCCGCCACCAGCCAGGCUGAGCUGUGGAAGGCGUACCUGGGGAGCAGAGGAGGUGGUGAGUGCGACCCUACCAACGCCAAGCCCAACCAAGACUCGGGGGCCCAGGGCUAUCGCUGACAACGCCACUGCCACCAGGCCUGGCGGGCAUCUUGUAGAUGAGGAACGAGGCCUCUGAGAGCACUCUUGGAGUUCUCCAUGGCUGUACCUGGCUGUACUGGGAGUUGACCCUAGGAUGCUCUACCACUGAGCAACAUCCCCAGCCCCUUUUGAUCUUCCAUUUGGAGACGGUCUUGCUAAGUUGCUGAGGCUGGCCUCAAACUUGUUUGCCUCCUGCCUCAGCCUCCAGAGUUGAUGAGAUUAAAGGCGAGCACCACGCAGCACAGGUCUGAUUCCUGGCCGCUGCACCCUGGAUCUGCACUGCCCCCAGCUGGCCCCACACCUGUAUCUCUUGUCGUCCAGCGGGAUGAAGUCCAUGAGCAGGGCGUAGUCAGCCAGCGUGUCCAUGCCCAGGAUCUUCACCUGGAAGCAAGUUCCUGGAGAGCGGAGAUAGACAGGACCCAGCUUGCUCCCCGGGGAUUGAACCGGUGUGCUCUACACCCCCAGCCUUUUUUAUUUUUUAUUUUGAGACAAAGUUUUCUUAAAUUGCUGAGGCCAUCCUUGAACUUAAGAUCAGUCCUCCUGCCUCAGCCUCCUGCGCCACUGGGAUUACAGGAUUCACCACCACAAGCCUGCUCCCCAGGGAACCUUUGAACAACCCUGUGAUUGAGAGCUUGGCUAUUAUCUCCAGCCUCAGGUUCCACACCUGUCACCAGGGGCUCUCAAGACCGGCCCCACAGGGCUGAAGUGAGGAUUGGUGGGGACACACAGGGCCUGGUGCACAGUGGGCCCUGCACAGACCCCACCUCUUACAGAUGAUGCACACGUGAGGCUGCAGGGAGUAGGCGGGGGCUCUGAACUCGGGAACCCCUGCUGCUGGUGCUGAUUAAGGAGAGCUGAGUUGCGGGAGAGCCCCGUCCACCACGAUUGCUCAGGACAGCCUGGAACCCCCACACACCCUGCCUCCGGAAGCCCAUUCUCUCACCUUCUGCUCUGACCCUUUGUCCCCGACGCAUGCUCUCUUUUGAUCUGCAAGCCUGAUGCAAGUCUUGGCCAAGAGCUGUGCCACCCAACCCACGCAAUUAAAAUAAAAUGCUAACCG